CUCCGGGGGAGGUGCAUCCCUCAGCCUGGAUUGUGAAAGGGCAGAGGCCAGGCUGAGGGACCCCUCCAGUGCAUG
rnacentral:pre_miRNA from 1 species